rnacentral:rRNA from 1 species
GUACACGCUGUGACUAGUAUAUCAAUAAGCGGAGGAAAAGAAACUAACAAGGAUUCCCCUAGUAACGGCGAGUGAAGCGGGAAGAGCUCAAAUUUGAAAUCUUAAAGGGUUUCCCUUUACGAAUUGUAGUUUAAAGAAGUGUUUUCUGUUGAGGUUUUGGUAAAAGUUCUUUGGAAUAGGACAUCAUAGAGGGUGAGAAUCCCGUAUUUGACCUUUACUUUCAACUUUGUGAUACACUUUCAAAGAGUCGGAUUGUUUGGGAAUGCAGUCCAAAAUGGGUGGUAAAUUUCAUCUAAAGCUAAAUAUUGGCGAGAGUACCGAUAGUCGAACAAGUACCGUGAGGGAAAGAUGAAAAGAACUUUGAAAAGAGAGUUAAACAGUACGUGAAAUUGUCAAAAGGGAAGCGUUUGACACCAGUGUUGUUUUUCUGAAAAUCAAUUAAAGAACUGUUUAUGCUAAGUUGUUUAGACUUUAUCAGCUAACUGUUUAGUUUUGAGCUUUUCUUUAAUGCACUUUUCAGUUAACAAGUCAACAUCAAUUUCUUUUGCUGUAAAAAAGCUUGAGGAAGGUGGCUUGAGAUUCGUCUUAAGUGUUUAUAGCCUCUUGCCUAUGCAGUCGGAGAGAUUGAGGUCUGCAGCGUAGAUCCUUCGGGGCUAAAUGCAUUUGUGCUAAGUUAUAGCAUUUUAUAGACAACUUGUUGACUAUGAUUUGUCUUGUAGCUUACUCGCUUAUGUUAUUUUACCUACGCUUAGGAUGUUGAGUCGUAGAGCACGCAG